UCAUGAACAACGCAAAAAAAUCACAUUCUUCUCAAAAAGCGUUCCUACGAGGACUCGUUCCAAGGAAGUACGGAAAUCGUCAUAGAGAAUGGAGACCGAGUGUGGCUUGACCACACAGAGUCGAUCUUGGGUGCAGUAUCUGCCUGACCAUCGUGUCCAAUGGCAGGAACUGCAAUGAUUGACACUACAA
rnacentral:sRNA from 1 species